rfam:Salmonella enterica subsp. enterica serovar Enteritidis str. LA5, WGS project CAGR02000000 data, contig: Scaffold08-Contig1
AGAACGUGAUGGGAAGCGGCGCGCUUCCCGUGUAUGAUUGAACCCGCAUGGCUCCCGGUUCGUUCGGGGAAGCGCUGAGGGUUCAUUUUUAU